rnacentral:rRNA from 1 species
CCGCCACGGGAAUACGUAGGGUGCGAGCGUUAAUCGGAAUUACUGGGCGUAAAGCGUGCGCAGGCGGUUUUGUAAGACAGGCGUGAAAUCCCCGGGCUCAACCUGGGAAUGGCGCUUGUGACUGCAAAGCUAGAGUGCGGCAGAGGGGGAUGGAAUUCCGCGUGUAGCAGUGAAAUGCGUAGAUAUGCGGAGAAACACCGAUGGCGAAGGCAAUCCCCUGGGCCUGCACUGACGCUCAUGCACGAAAGCGUGGGGAGCAAACAGGAUUAGAUACCCCUGUAGUCCCUGUCUCUUAUACACA